CCUCUUCAGCCCGGCACACUGCACCUCCUUCACCAGCUCCCACAGGGGCUGCAGCUGCGGAAACAAGAGAUAUCAGAGAUGGGAGGUUUUUAUUCUUUGAUAAGAUGACACGCUGAGAAAGUUAAUCCAACACUAUGCUCAAGCUUUUGAAGUUUCCCCUCACCUUUGGUUUGAUGACCUUUGGAAAUGAGCCGACAGACUCAGACCAGUUUGAGUACAUCUCCCAGUUUAUGUCUGGAUCAUUGAGCUGCAUGGUCGUCAGUGCUGCGACAUGUUCGACGCCUCCUCCCUCCACUUCCACUUUACCCGUGACAUCGCUCCUGAUGUUACCUGUUUCGAAAAGUUUCUUCAUCAAUCUUGGCAAAGACUCUGAAGGAUCCUCCGAGGCUUCCCUCCGACAGGUAGUGCGUUCCAAACCUCUCCAAAACCUUCCUGUAGGCGGAGUAGUCGUAGACAGAUGGGAGUUUGGCCACUGCCCUCCAGAACUCGUCAGAGAGUGGAAUGUACUGAGGAGCAGUACUCUCGAACCGAACGACCUCUAUGUCACUCCUUAAAACCAAAAGCCUGUGGGUCUGUAGGGAGUAAAACAAAUAAACUACUCAAUAAGCUUCCUUUUAUACAGCGAUACUUUGUUGUUCUUACAAACCUGAGUCUUUCCCUUUAUCUCGUGAAAGUCGUAGUUGUGGUAAUCUGAUGUUGUGCCGGACACUUUCUGUCUGUUGACAAUGUCCUUUGCAUAAUCCCAUUUACUGUCGAACGUCGCAUCACUGAAGUCAUUCUGAGCUUUUGACUGAGGGCAAAGGUCAAAAUCUGAUUCAUAUCAUUAAGAAAAGCAGAAUAUGUCACAGGGUUUAAAAAAAGAGACAGUUUUACAUGAAUUUCAACAAAAAUAUAAACAAAUUAGAAAGUAAUUACCAAUUUUGCUCACUACAGUUGCAUCUGAGUUAUGUUUUUAAUGCCUAGAUUCCUGUAUUGUGUGCAUGUCACUCGUACCAGAAAAACUGCAGUAUUGGUUGUUUGGUCCAAAAAUCCAAUGAGAUCUGACGUCUUUCUACAAAGUUUAGGAUCUCAGCUGGUCGAGUAUAAGAAUGAGAUGUGAAUGAAAAGUGUUGAGUUAAGACGGUGUGAUGCUAACAGGAGCAGCAGGAGCAGGUGGCAGCGUAACUGUCUGUAACUCAAGAUCCUGAGAUCCGAUGACUGGGAUCUGAUGUCUUGCCACAAAUACUGUGUUUAUGAGCCAGGAUAUAAUCUGGUCAUCGAUAAGAAAUGAAAUCGUAUAGGUGUUAACUUAAGACGGAGCUGCUCAGAUGGCAGCCAGAACACCAACGCUUGUACAGGGGCGGUGUGUAUGAGAUAUGGGCCACUUAUAGUGACAGACCUUAGACUAACUCAAAAGCCGACAGUAUGGUGGCUGACUAGCUGUUGAAGUGGAAAACGUAGCAGCUGAGAGACAUUUCAUUCAGCAGCUGGUGGAGAACAAAACAGGAGGGAGAGGGCAUUUGUUGGGUUGAAAACACAAAUCUGUGUUGGAUACUUUACAUAAGUUACAAACAGAUGUAUCAAUAUCAGUUGUUGUUGUCGUUUUUUUCUGGAGAGACCAACCAUGAAGGUGUACUUGAGAGUGCUGAGGGGCGCUCGAUAAAGAACCCAGGGGUGAAGUCUGCGGAUAAAGCGACACUGACCCCCAAAGCUCUUUGUGUUCAUGACACUGGCCCCCCACUUCCCAGACACCACAUCAAACCUGGAGACGCAAAAAAAAUCUCAUUGGUUAGUAUGUAACACCGGCUUGUGUGUACUUGUACACACAAAUAGAGCUCCAUCAAGACUUCUCCCUUACCCGAGUCCUAGGAGCUCAACGUUAGAUGGCGGAGUUUCAGCGCCACAUGUAAUCCAUUUUUUAAUUUCACAGACCCCAGGCCCUUCGUCGUGUCCAUCCCCCUCACAGUCCACUUCUCCAUUACACAGCAUGGACGGGUUAACGCACUUCCCUGUGGAUCAGGGGACUGUCAGACUGAAGGCUCACUCAUUGUUACAGAAAUCGAUAAGCUUACAGAAAGCAGAGUUUUGUUCUUACCCGAUAGACAGCGAAACCUGUCUCCACACCCGUCCUCUAGAGGGCAGCCUUUUGUGGUUUCACAGGACCUGGUCUGAGUUGGCUCCCCAUCACAGAGGUUUCCUCCGAACUGAGCAUAGACAGCCCUGGCUCGGCUUCUUGUCUAUAACCAACCAUAAAUAAUUCACCAUCAGUGUUUACAGUGUUACAUGUACAUGUCUGAAACAGAGUAAUGCACUGAUCAGUAAGAGUUGGUUUGUAUGUUGACAUUUUACAGGUUUUGGAACAAGUUAGCAAAAUUGUUUAUUGAGCGACAGAUCAUCCUGACCUGUAAUUUGGUGCAGCCAUCACACUCUGACCAGUCAUCAUAAGGACCCCACUGGCAAUCAAUUCUCUGGAUACACAAACUUAGAAACAAUUACAUUCAAAUGAUUUAAUGAAAAAUAUCAAAUCCAAUUGAACCAAACCCUUUGUCAUCAUCAGCAUUGAUCAUGUUGUGCAUUUCUGAAAAACAGUUUAAUAAAAGUAAAUGUACCCUUUGUGGGUGAACAGGAGCAACAACCACUGCAAAGCUGUGAGAAGGAACUAGAGAAGAGAGGAGAGGAGAGGAGAGAGACUUAGUAAUAAACUUGUUAAAACACAUGAUGCUGAAUCCUGAAUUGCCCCUCAUAGAACAAAAAGUGCUUUGAGUGGUCAUCAAGACAAGACAAGUGCUAUAAAUACAAACCAUUUACCAUGAAGGAAAAGAAAAUCUGUUUGCUACUUCCCUCCUGUUAUUAAGUUAAAAUUAGACCUACCUUCAUGGUGAGUGAAGUCCAGCAAAGAGUAUUGAAGGACAGGGUUUCACGGAUUUAUAUGACCCAAAGAAUUCCAAUGAAGUCAUGUCAUGCUGUGUGUGUUUGUUUGUUUGUGUGUGUGUGUGUGUGUGUGUGUGUAUCUGUGUGUGGCAUUGGCUGUACAAAUUUGCACAUUUUAGAGGGAGGAGAAAAUGACCUUUUUUUUUUAUGGGAACCUCUGGCCCAAAGCUCCUCUUGAGCAUCAUUCUGAAACUGAAAGCUUGAAUCUGUCUCCUCAAUAACCCUUCAAUCCUAAUCUAUUGUAUUAUUGAGUAAACACAAAUGUGACCUUUGAACUUUAACCACCUAAAUCUAACCAGUUUAUCUGUGACUCUAAAUAAACAUUUGUGCCAAAUCUGGAA